rnacentral:misc_RNA from 1 species
AAAAAUCCAAACUUUUUGCAGUAGUUGAGGUAUCAGUUGCAAAUUGAAAGCAUCUUUUUCCUUAAAAAGCAAAAAUAUGUCCUCGGAUUUCUCCGGCGGAGUUCCAGACUUUCACGGCGGCGCCGGUAGAUCCAGCUUGAUUCCGAUGAACAACUCCCAGCCACAAAUUCAAUUAACCCAACGCCCUGACGGAGUUUCUCAGAAUCUCCACCGGAGACCUAUGUUCAUCGGGAAACGGUCACUCGCAGCCUUUCAACAGCAGCAACAGUUUCAGUUUCUACAACAACAACAGCAGCAACAAGGUUUGGGAUUUUAUCUACGUAACGUGAAGCCUAGAAAUUACCAGCAGGCAUCUCCAAUUUCUCCUCUAGAUUACUCUGUUUCUUCCUCGUUGAUUUCAUCUGAAUUUUCUCCGAUGACUCCACGCCAUCCUCUCCCGAUUUCCACGGCGAACACGAACGGGGUUUUAUCUUCUGGUAACCCGAAUUGUUCAGCAGUUGCUUCUUACCUAAAUCAGGUACAGAACAGUUUAUACCAGGAAUCAGAGGAAAAAAUGAUGAAUCGACUGCAUGAGUUAGAGAAACAGCUCCUAGAAGACAACAAUGAGGAGGAAGAAGAUACAGUCUCUGUUGUGACUAACAACGACGAGUGGUCGGAAACAAUAAAGAAUCUGAUUACUCCGACUAGUAACCACUUAUCCCCGGCAUCAUCUACGUCUUCAUGUUCUUCUUCUAUGGAAUCUCCGCCAGUAUCUUCUCCCAGGCAGUCUAUUGUCGAAGCUGCUACCGCAAUAAUCGACGGAAAAACCAAUGUUGCAGUACAGAUCCUCACGCGCCUCGCACAGGUAGCUGAUGUUAGAGGGUCUUCCGAACAGCGGCUGACGGCGUACAUGGUUUCAGCACUCCGAUCGCGCGUGAACUCCACGGAGUACCCACCGCCCGUGAUGGAGCUGCGUAGCAAAGAGCACGCAGUUUCAGCUCAAAACCUCUACGAGAUAUCCCCGUGUUUCAAGCUAGGAUUUAUGGCAGCUAAUUUCGCCAUUGUUGAAGCUGUAGCUGAUCAUCCCUCAAACAAAAUUCACGUCAUUGAUUUCGACAUAGGACAAGGUGGACAAUACUUGCAUUUACUACACGCGCUAGCUUCCAAGAAAACAGAUUAUCCCAUCAGCUUAAGAAUCACGGCGAUCACAACAGAGUUCACGGUCAGAGCUGAUCACAGUUUAAAAUCCAUUGAAGAUGAUCUGAGAAGUCUAGCAAACAAAAUCGGUAUUUCCUUGAUUUUCAAAGUAAUUUCACGUACAAUCACCGAUUUGAGUAGGGGAAAAUUAGGGAUUGAACACGACGAAGCUUUAGCAGUGAAUUUCGCAUACAGAUUAUAUAGAUUACCCGACGAGAGCGUAACAACAGAGAAUCUAAGAGACGAGCUUCUCCGGCGAGUGAAGGGGUUAUCACCAAAGGUGGUGACAUUAGUAGAGCAAGAGUUGAACGGGAACACGGCGGCGUUUGUGGCGCGUGUAAACGAGGCGUGUGGAUAUUACGGAGCAUUGUUGGAUUCACUGGAUGCAACUGUAUCAAGAGAGGAAACGGGUCGGGUCAAGAUCGAAGAAGGGCUGAGUCGUAAAUUAACAAACUCGGUAGCGUGUGAAGGUAGGGAUCGUUUGGAGAGAUGCGAGGUGUUUGGUAAAUGGAGGGCCCGAAUGAGUAUGGCUGGGUUCGGGCCGAGGCCCAUGAGUCAACAAAUUGCUGAUUCACUGCUUAAGAGGCUUAACUCGGGCCCACGUGGCAAUCCAGGAUUCAAUGUGAAUGAACAAAGUGGGGGUAUUAGGUUUGGAUGGAUGGGAAAAACCCUCACCGUUGCUUCUGCUUGGUGUUAACUUGUUACCACAAGAAUAAAAGUAUUUCUUUUUCCUUUUUAAAUUAGUAAUCAGUAUUAAAAGAUAUUGUGAUUUGUAUAAAAAAAACUCAUUGUAAUAUGGUGUACUAGAGGCUUUGUUAAUAGUAAAGUACCACUGUUGGUUAUCUGUCAAUUCUUAAAAAAAGAAGAGGAUAGACGAAUGCUGACAGGCUGACA